GGAAGGUAAAAGUCGUAAACAAGGUUUCCGUAGGUGAACCUGCGGAAGGAUCAUUACAGAAAUAGGGGAAGGUUGCCUAACUGCAAUCCUUUUCUUUCUACACAUGUGUUUUUCUUUUUUUUGAAAACUUUGCUUUGGUGGGCCCACGGCCUGCCAGAGAUUAAACUCAACCAAAUUUUUAUUUAAUUGUCAACUUGAUUAACUAAUAGUCAAAACUUUCAACAACGGAUCCCUUGGUUCUCGCAUCGAUGAAGAACGCAGCGAAAUGCGAUAAGUAAUAUGAAUUGCAGAUAUUCGUGAAUCAUCGAAUCUUUGAACGCACAUUGCGCCCUUUGGUAUUCCAAAGGGCAUGCCUGUUUGAGCGUCAUUUCUCCCUCAAACCUUCGGGUUUGGUGUUGAGCGAUACGCUGGGUUUGCUUGAAAGAAAGGCGGAGUAUAAACUAAUGGAUAGGUUUUUUUUCCCACUCAUUGGUACAAACUCCAAACAUUCUUCCAAAUUCGACUUCAAAUCAGGUAGGACUACCCGCUGAACUUAAGCAUAUCAAUAAGCGGAGGAAAAGAAACCAACAGGGAUUGCCUUAGUAACG
rnacentral:rRNA from 1 species